CAGUUAACUGACAGUGUCACCAUCACCACAGUCCUGAUUAUCUCCAAAUCUGGUGAUUAUAGUAUCCAAGGGAACCAGGGCAGUGGCUGGUAGCAUGGGCCGCCUGGAGCUUAAAACAGAGUAGUAGAAACUACAUGCAACACAAGCCAGGAAGAACUAAAAGAAAAAAAAUAAAUGAAGCAAAUACUCAAAUCCUCUCUACCACAAGCAAAAUGAACGAAGAAACUCCCAAAGCAGCCUUUCUCAUCUGGAGUUCAGAAUAACAACACAGUAUCUAUUACAGAAACAUUCCUGUAAGUAGAAGGUGAUUGCUCAAGAUACAGCUGGAGCCCCACGCCCAUGCCCAUAGCAAAUGGAGCUUAGUAAAGGAGAGCAGGCAUCCUGCACAGCGGCUUCCCAGCGCCUCACCGCAGGAUACGGCGGUGUGCUGCUGCCAGCCUCCCAUCACAUGGUGUCUCUCAUCUAGUACACCAUGCUGGAACCAUGCUAGAGCAUAUGAUGACUGCCUAAAUAUAAAACUAGUAAUAAAUUUAUUCUUAUCCCA